GACGAACGCUGGCGGCGUGCUUAACACAUGCAAGUCGAACGGUGAAGCGCCUUCCUUUUUGGUGGGUGUGGAUGAGUGGCGAACGGGUGAGUAACACGUGAGUAACCUGCCCCCUUCUUCUGGAUAACCGCAUGAAAGUGUGGCUAAUACGGGAUAUUCUGGGUCUGUCGCAUGAUGGGUCUGGGAAAGAUAUUGUUUCGGUGGGGGAUGGGCUCGCGGCCUAUCAGCUUGUUGGUGGGGUGAUGGCCUACCAAGGCGGUGACGGGUAGCCGGCCUGAGAGGGUGGACGGUCACACUGGGACUGAGACACGGGCCAGACUCAUACGGGAGGCAGCAGUGGGGAAUAUUGCACAAUGGGCGCAAGCCUGAUGCAGCGACGCCGCGUGAGGGAUGGAGGCCUUCGGGUUGUGAACCUCUUUCGCCAGUGAAGCAGGCCUGCCUCGUUUGUGGGUGGGUUGACGGUAGCUGGAUAAGAAGCGCCGGCUAACUACGUG
rnacentral:rRNA from 1 species